AUCCAAAACUAACUGAAUCAAGGA
rnacentral:siRNA from 1 species